GGAUAACGUUCGGAAACGGACGCUAAUACCGCAUACGUCCUACGGGAGAAAGCAGGGGACCUUCGGGCCUUGCGCUAUCAGAUGAGCCUAGGUCGGAUUAGCUAGUUGGUGAGGUAAUGGCUCACCAAGGCGACGAUCCGUAACUGGUCUGAGAGGAUGAUCAGUCACACUGGAACUGAGACACGGUCCAGACUCCUACGGGAGGCAGCAGUGGGGAAUAUUGGACAAUGGGCGAAAGCCUGAUCCAGCCAUGCCGCGUGUGUGAAGAAGGUCUUCGGAUUGUAAAGCACUUUAAGUUGGGAGGAAGGGCAUUAAACCUAAUACGUUAGUGUUUUGACGUUACCGACAGAAUAAGCACCGGCUAACUCUGUGCCAGCAGCCGCGGUAAUACAGAGGGUGCAAGCGUUAAUCGGAAUUACUGGGCGUAAAGCGCGCGUAGGUGGUUUGUUAAGUUGGAUGUGAAAUCCCCGGGCUCACCUGGGGACUGCAUUCAAACUGACUGACUAG
rnacentral:rRNA from 1 species